CACACACACACACACACAUGCACAAACUCUGAGACACACACACCUGCAGUUUUGUGGUAACUCUCCAACAAUAACACUAUGUAUUCACACAUACACAUCACCACACAGAACUACCACUAAGAACCCAUCGAAGUCUGAAGACCUUUCCAUGUCAGAGCACACCUGUCAAAUAGGUUUCCGCUACAGUGUUCACUGUCAUUCCCAAUCCAUGGAUUAUUCCCAUGGAGUUCUGGGAUUUAUGCCACUUUAUGGCAUGCAUUCUCACCUUAGCUUUCAGUCCAGUCAAUGGACUCAUCGUCAAAGAAAUACUUCCACACAUUUCUGGACUACUGUAAGUGUGGUUUUAUAACACAAAACCCUUUCUGUUGUAUAGCAUUCUGUCCUCAGCGGCAUAUCUUACUCACAGCCCACAACAUGCACAGCCACUGGUGUUGGACAUUGCUGUUGUUUGACCUUUGAUUUCUUUCCUCUAUCUCCAGGGAAUGAUGGGAAUGAAAGGCCAACCUGGACUUCCCGGCCCCCCUGGAGAAGGAGUGAUAAUCCCUUGAGUCCGGACUUUGUUCCAUCUCUUUUCAACUACGUUCCAUCUCCAGAGAAGAGGAAAAGAAAAAUGAGACUGGAGGUUUUCAACAGACGACAGGGAGCAAAGCUACAGAAGAUGGAGCAGACAAAGCUAUCUGCGAAAGCCAUCCCUCCCAGAGCAUCAACAGAUUGUCCCCAAGACUGCAACAAGGAUCCUACUGCAGAGCAAAGUCCCACCACAGAGCCUUUGAAGGAAUCUACCCAUGAAGAACCUGGAAACGAUGUCCAGCCUGUUCUCCAUGAGGAGGAUCCAGCAACCCCACCAUGCACCACUGAAACCUGUGGUAAACGCGUCCAAUCUCUUGAGCAAGAAUGCCAAGCUCUGAGGACUGAAAAUAUGUUGUUGAAGGAAAAAAUGAAUAGGACUACACUGAAUGAGAUGAGCUUGCAUAACGAUGAUAAAAGGGUUCAUACUCUCACUGGUUUAUCAGCAUUCUCCAUUCUCAUGACAAUUUUUCAUAUUGUGGCUCCUUUUCUCCAACUUAAAUCUAGUUUAACAUGUUUUCAGCAGUACAUGUUAACUUUAAUUAAGCUUAGAAUGAACUUGUCCUUUGAGUUUUGGGCUUUUAUUUUGACAUUGACUCAACCACUGUUUCAAAGCUCUUCAAACACUGCAUUAGUGUGAUGCAUUGUAGACUGGUGCCAAGUCUGGUGUUGUGGCCUGACAGAAUACUUAAGAAAAUCUCUUCCAUAUGCAUUUCGAAACCGUAGCUUUGAAAAGACAGUUUGCAUUAUAGAUUGUUUUGAAAUAUUUCUAGAGAAACCCAGUAGAUUGCUAGCCAGUGCUCAGUGUUACUCAUCAUACAAAUCACACCACACAAUGAAAUAUUUAAUUGCAAUUUGCCCUCGAGGUUCCAUUUGUUUCAUUUCCGCUGGAUGGGGAGGUCGCACAAGUG